AUUGAACGCUGGCGGCAUGCCUUACACAUGCAAGUCGAACGGCAGCACGGACUUCGGUCUGGUGGCGAGUGGCGAACGGGUGAGUAAUGUAUCGGAACGUACCUUUCAGUGGGGGAUAACGUAGCGAAAGUUACGCUAAUACCGCAUAUUCUGUGAGCAGGAAAGCAGGGGAUCGAAAGACCUUGCGCUGAUUGAGCGGCCGAUAUCAGAUUAGCUAGUUGGUGGGGUAAAGGCCUACCAAGGCGACGAUCUGUAGCGGGUCUGAGAGGAUGAUCCGCCACACUGGAACUGAGACACGGUCCAGACUCCUACGGGAGGCAGCAGUGGGGAAUUUUGGACAAUGGGGGCAACCCUGAUCCAGCCAUGCCGCGUGAGUGAAGAAGGCCUUCGGGUUGUAAAGCUCUUUCGGCCGGGAAGAAAUCGCAUAGGCUAAUACCCUGUGUGGAUGACGGUACCGGAAUAAGAAGCACCGGCUAACUACGU
rnacentral:rRNA from 1 species